AUUUUUUUGUAUAAUCUAGCACAGUACAUGCAAACACAAAAAUUCAUAAAGUUAUCAAAAUAAUUGCAAAAUGCAAACUUUGGGUUUAUUAUUGCAAUUGCAACGAAUGAAAUUAAGUUAAAUUAUAUUAUCGUAGAAUAGUUUUCAAAAUUCCCGCCAUAACCUAAGUAGUGUAUAAGUGAAAUGUUUUUUUUUCAUUUUCCGAUUUAAUUAUGGCGGAUCUACAAUGGUGCGUGAACCAAGUUCAUAAUCAUUUUGUGUGAGUGCAUUCCAGUUUUAAAACGUUGAUGUGAUUGCUAAAAUUCGUCCGCACCGCGAAGGUGUGUGCCUGGGUGGGCGGAAACAAGAUAUGGCGGAGAAUAGAGGUUCGGACAACGUCGUUAUGCCGGACAUUACCGAAGUAUCCGAAGCCGAUCCCCUGUCGGCGGGGGCCGAUCACGAUGCCGACCGAUCUGAUGACGGAGCUGUUUUGUCGACUGGAAUCAAAAAUACGAGAUUGUCUAGUGAUUCAAAUGGCGUCGUCACGGUUCCAGUUUCUCUGCCGGUCGGCACACUUAUUACUGGGACCACUUUUAACGUGAUAACGUCAGAUCAGCUGCCACAUUUCAAACCUAUGAUAUGUGUUGAUAAUGGGUUUAUAUCAGGUGGGCCCGUAUCUGUGUCAGAUGACAUAAAACCAACUCAUAUUGUGAUCCAAAACCCAACUUCGCCAGUGACAAGAGCAGAGGAGAGUAGCUCUAGUACAACAAGUGCUCGACAUACGAGCGCUCGAUCAUGGGCUGAGACUGCUAGCAUGCCAAUACUGCCUAUUCGAUGUAAAAAUACGCCAGCCGAGCUUCAUAAACAAAGGUUUGGUUCUGGGGGUAGAGGCAGGUGUAUAAAAUACGGAAUGGAAUGGUACACUCCUAGUGAAUUUGAGGCCUUAUGUGGAAGGGCGUCUAGUAAAGACUGGAAGAGAUCUAUUAGGUUUGGAGGGCGCAGCAUCCAGGCACUGAUAGAUGAGGGAAUACUGACCCCUCAUGCCACAAGCUGUACUUGUGGGGCUUGCUGUGAUGACCAGACAGCUAUGGGACCAGUGCGGUUAUUCACACCAUACAAGAGAAGAAGACGUCACAAUCAAGAUGGAGAAGAGAAGAAACCAAAAUUAAAAAGAGAAUCUAGCAUAGGAGAUGGUGAUGUAGAUAAUAUACACCAGAGCAGCAACAAUAGCAAUAACUCUAAGGAAGCCUGGCAGACUAUUGCCGAGGGCUUGGACACAAAUGCUGACUACCAUUUACUAGAGAAUCCAGAUACCAAUGCUGAAUCUAUUUCAGGUAUCCCCGAUAUGAGUGGAGUUCUCAAAAGACUCGACGACAUCGGAAAUUCCCUAGUGAGGCUCGCGUCGGAGUUAAAACAGUGCGUGGAAGAUGUUCGCGUUGUCAACGCUCGUCAACUAGAACGUCUGGAGCAGGAGAGAGCGACGGCUCUACUUGCCGCGAGUGUGGACGCACACGUGGAGGCGGAACACGUGUCUCUCCACAACGUGGACGACAAUGAAGCAAAAAAGUGCGCAAAUUGCAACCGCGAGGCUUCAGCUGAGUGCUCUCUCUGCCGACGAACACCGUACUGCUCAACAUACUGCCAGAAGAAGGACUGGGCGGCUCAUCAGAUCGAGUGUUUGCGUUCUGUCCCCACCAUUCACGCUGAUCCUCAACAACAUCAAUCAAUAAUGCUUAUUGUCGAGAGCCAACAUCAGUAGCGAAAUUUAACAUCUUGGACAUUUAACACCAGGUCCUGAGUUGCUGAAUGCUGAAGAUCCUUAUUUUAUUUCACAUUGUAUGUUUUGUUAAAUGGAAUUUGUAAAUAUGUAAUGUACUUCUUGGGUAGGAUAGGUGUUCGUGACCAGUCAGAGAGAGUCAGCGCAUUAUCAUUAUUAUAGCUCAUACGUCGUUUGAAGACAAUUAAUAGUUCAUACAAUAUGUGUAAAGGAUGUAGUAGUAGUUAUGUGACAGUAAAUGCCCACAUUUGUUGGUUCCUAAAAUGUACCAAUAACUUAUGUGGAUUGUUGUUGUUCUUGUUAUUUACUCAGGCUUUAAAGCAUACAAUUAAAGAUACAUUAAUCGCUUUUUACAUUUAUAUUUUUACUUGCAAAUAUUUCAUAAUGCUCUUUGAAACACUCAUUUCUGAGAUAAUUUAAUAAUAUUGAUAGCUAUAUAUAGGAUAGGGUAGGUUUUGUAAGCAUAUAAUUUGGUGAUUCGAAUCGUUGAAUAUUAUGGUACACAUCAUCGUUAUUAGAGAUUGCUGUAACGUGGCAUACAGUUGUAAGUAAUGACUGCACGGUAGACGCGGUGGCUGGGCACCCGGCUGCCGUGUUAUGUGUAGCGGGUUCGAUUCCCGCACGGAACAACUUUUUGUGUGAUCCACAAAUUGUUGUUUCGGGUCUGGGUGUCAUAUGUAUGUAAACUUAAGUUUGUAAAAGCACACUGUGAGGCUAUGUUUGUUAAAAAAAAAUUAAUAGAAUGUAGUAGAGAAACUGUAUGGUCACGACAGGAAUUGAUUUCCCGCUGCGACUUUGUGCCAUUCCCUUGAUGAUUGUGAAUACUUAUUAUAUUGAUGUAAACUGGUUUCCGACCAUGUUAUUGGGCACAAGUUUAUAUCUGAAACAUUGUACCUACAUGCUAGAGCUUCGCACAAAAGUGACGUCAAAUAUAUGUGCGUAGUUACUGUAUUGAUUUUUUAAUCUUAGGGUAUUGAUAUGGGACUAACGUGAAAACAUUUUUAGGUUAGAGUGUUGCAAAAGUAAUACCUGAAAAUACUGGAUUAGAACGUUACGAUGGCAACAUCAAUGCAGAUCUGCAUGGAAAAUUAUCAUGGCAACAUGACUAGACAAACAGGGGGCGGGUGGGCGGGGUCUGGCUGUUGGGGCCUCUGUUGAAUAUGUGGUAGUUAGACGAUGGUGCGGUACGGUUAGCGUAGCUUUAACGCAUGACAACUACGGUAACGGUAACGGACUCAUGUGGGUACGUGCUUAUUUUGCCAAAUAAAGUGUACAGCAGCGCCAUGUAUACACAUAAUAAGAGAUACUGUGUAUACAUGACGCUAUGGCAGUCUCUUUACUUAGUUAAAUAAAGCAGACAUAACUAAGACACAUAUUCAGCGGAGUUUCUCAACAGAAGGUCUAGUACGAGUUUGUUUUACAUUUAAUGAGAUCGAAAUGUUAUCGCGUUCAGUUCUCUGAUUUAUUUAGAAUCACGCUUAUCAGAGCACCGAACGUCAAAACGCGUCGAUCACUUUACACGUAAAACAAACUUAUACUAAGCCUUGCACGCCACACGACUUGUCUUUUCCGCACUUGAGGCAAGAUCGUGUGGCGAGGAGUGAAUGGGAAGUAAAGUAGGCAACAUCUGGGCAGGCCAGUAUAGGGUCGUACGAUGGCAACAUCUGGGCAGGCCAGAAUGGGGGAGUACGUGGUGUUUCCUUAUCAUAUUUCUGUCCAACCAGCGGGUAACCUUAACAAUAGCGCAGGAUUGCAACAGGUGUAGGAUAAGGAAGUCCUCAUAUUUCUAUAUGUAAAUAGCAGUUUGUAGAUUUAAUAAUAAUUAGUGAUAGAAAAUUGGCAUAUAUUAAGCAAUACUAUUUCUCUACAGAUAGAAAUAUUGAGACUGGUCGCUUUUUUUUUUGAAGAGGGCGGACACUUUCAAUUACUUAUAGAAAUAUGCUCUAGGAUGUAGGUACGUAGUGAUGAUGUAGUGUUUAUGUAGUGAUUAGGUAGUCAUUCAGUAGUCAUUAAGGUUUAGUGUAAUUAGAAAAAUGUAAGUUAUGUAUAUUAUGAUGUAAGUAUUGUAAGGAUUUUAUAGUCAGUAAGUCUUUAGGAUAGUAUUUACACCUUAGGAUACCUUUAAGAAUUAAGCCUCAAUUUGUAAACGUGUUUUGUUGAUAUUCAUUGUAAUUUAUUUAACUUUAAUGUAAAUUAUUUACUGGGAAACUUAUCCCAAUAAAUAAUUUAACAUUGUUGGCGUUAAGUUUUUGUUUUUUAAAUUUCUCACGAAUAUUUAAUUUACCUUCAGAUAUUUGUAAGAAAUUUAAAAUUUUGUCGUUUCAAGUGUCGAGUUCGGUUACCGAUUAUGUUCUUUUUGUUUCCAACAGCGCUUGCUAUGAUUUAAAUAUGAUGUUAAUUUAAACCAUAGCAAUAAACGUUUCGUUUUUAUAAAAAUCAGUUUCCGAUUAUGUUAUCCAAUAUGUUUUAGCCGACGCUUAGAGUAUCGCAAGUACCAAUAUAGUGUUAGAAUAGUUGCCUUAGGUAGGUAUUUAUUAUUAUUAUUGUGAGCGCUAUUAGAGUAGGGUGAAUAUAAAUAAAUUGUAUUAAUGUUAUUUAAUGGUUAAAUAAAUUACUUAUUAGUUUUAUGGUUACCAAUAAAGAGUGAAAAUGUUUUUCUGUUACCAAAUAUUAUUGUAAUAACGUCUUAGUCCAACGUGUACUUUUUUGUAAAUUACUUUGUAUUUUAAAGCUAUUAACGUGUUGCGUUGUUAUUUCGUUAAUUAUCAUUAAGUGUAUGUGAAAUAAUUUUACAUGUUAUUUAAUGUUUUACAAGUUUUUUUUCUUAAGAAACUCUAGAGUAAUAAGAGCAAUGUUUUUUUGGAAAGUAUCGACAGUGACUGGCCUUCUAUUUAAAUUAAAUGUUUCUCGUUAAGUGUUUUAUCGCGUACUGUAAUUUUUUAUAUCUACGUACAUUUUGGCUUAAUUCUCUAAUAUUAUAGUAGUAGUUAUCAAUAUAAUAAUGUCUCAUCCUGUAGUUGUUAGUGUAACUUAUUUCUAUCGGUAACAGUCUGGUCUCAUCAAUAUAAUCCCAUCACUUGGUAACAUAGGUCCCAUCACUUGGUAUAAGAGGUCCCAUCACUUGGUAUCAUAGGUAGUCUCAUCACUUGGUAUCAUAGGUUAUGCCAUCUCUUGGUAUCAUAGGUAGUAACAUCACUUGGUGUCAUAGAUAUUCCCAUCACUUGGUAUCAUAGGUUAUCCCAUCAGAGGUCCUACUAUCGGCUAGAGCCCCACUUGAGCUAUCUCUUUUUAUUUUUGUGUUGUCUCGGUAUUCGGUCAGCAGUUCCUGCCACGGCUGUGCACAAUUCUCUCUGUUAUGUGUAUCUGGUUUACUAUAUUUGUCGUGUAUCUAUUAUAUAAAAAUAAGUCGGGUUUUCCUUCCUGACGCUAUAACUCCAGAACGCACGAACCGAUUUCCACGGUUUUGCAUUCGUUGGAAAGGUCUCGGGCUCCGUGAGGUUUAUAGCAAAAGAAAUUCGGGAAAACUUCAAGAGAAAAGCAAGAAAACGGGGAAACCAUUGGUGGCGAAACGGAGUUCGCCAGGUUUGCUAGUUUUUAAUGAAUCUUUAGUUCCGUGAUACUUCAUUUCAUUUUUGUUGUGGUCUGUUUCGAGUAUAAAACAUUAUAUUCUGUUAACCGUAGCUACCCAGAAUACCCUUAUGUUUACAUUCAUGUUUGUAUUUAAUUUUAUACUACAAUUAUUCUGACACAAUUUUGUAAAAUUUUAUAUUUUUUACCUAAACAUUUCUGUCAUGAUAUUUUCUUGACUUCUACGACUUUCUCGUUUUUACCUUUCAUAAGGUUUAUAGCUAUAAUUUCAAAUUCGUCUUUCUAUCUUUAUCCCGUUGAUUUUGGUAAUGUGCUUUCAGUUAGGUAGCUGUUUGUUGUGUCCUGUUUUGAGAUUUCAUCAUUUAAGUAAUCUUUGAACUAAAAUUUAUCUCUAUUUCUAAUCCACUUAAAAGUCUGGCUGUUGGGGCCUCUAUUGAAUAUGUGGUAGUUAGACGAUGGUGCGGUACGGUUAGCGUAGCGUUAACGCAUGACAACUACGGUAACGGUAACGGACUCAUGUGGGUACGUGCUUAUUUUGCCAAAUAAAGUGUACAGCAGCGCCAUGUAUACACAUAAUAACAGAUACUGUGUAUACAUGACGCUAUGGCAGUCUCUUUACUUAGUUAAAUAAAGCAGACAUAACUCAGACACAUAUUCAGCGGAGUUUCUCAAUAGAAGGUCUAGUACGAGUUUGUUUUACAUUUAAUGAGAUCGAAAUGUUAUCGCGUUCAGUUCUCUGAUUUAUUUAGAAUCACGCUUAUCAGAGCACCGAACGUCAAAACGCGUCGAUCACUUUACACGUAAAACAAACUUAUACUAAGCCUUGCACGCCACACGACUUGUCUUUUCCGCACUAUAGGGCAAGAUCGUAUAGCGAGGAGUGAAUUGGAAGUAAAGAUCUGGGUAGGCCAGUUGAGGGCAGUACGAUGGCAACGUCUGGGCUAAACGAAGUGGAAAUAACGAUGGCAAUUUCUGGGCAGAUCGGGCAUUUAGGAUUGUGAUGGCUAUACCGGGUUCAUACAGGGGGCGGGUGGGCGGUGUCUGGCUGUUGGGGCCUCUGUUGAAUAUGUGGUAGUUAGACGAUGGUGCGGUACGGUUAGCGUAGCUUUAACGCAUGACAACUACGGUAACGGUAACGGACUCAUGUGGUUAAGUGCUUAUUUUGCCAAAUAAAGUGUACAGCAGCGCCAUGUAUACACAUAAUAACAGAAACUGUGUAUACAUGACGCUAUGGCAAUUUCUUUACUUAGUUAAAUAAAGCUGACAUAACUAAGACACAUAUUCAGCAGAGUUUCUCAACAGAGGGUCUAGUACCAUAGGUUAUGCCAUCACUUGGUACCAUAGGUUAUGCCAUCACUUGGUAUCAUAGGUUAUCCCAUCAGAGGUCCUGCUAUCGGCUAGAGCCCCACUUGAGCUAUCUCUUUUUAUUUUUGUGUUGUCUCGGUAUUUGGUCAGCAGUUCCUGCCACGGCUGUGCACAAUUCUCUCUGUUAUGUGUAUCUGGUUUACUAUAUUUGUCGUGUAUUUUUAAUGAAUCUUUAGUUCCGUGAUACUUCAUUUCAUUUUUGUUGUGGUCUGUUUCGAGUAUAAAACAUUAUAUUCUGUUAACCGUAGCUACCCAGAAUACCCUUAUGUUUACAUUCAUGUUUGUAUUUAAUUUUAUACUACAAUUAUUCUGACACAUUUUUUGUAAAUUUACAUUUCUGUAAUGAUGUUUUCUUGACCUCUACGACUUUUUCGUUUUUACCUUUCAUAAGGUUUAUAGCUAUAAUUUCAAAUUCGUCUUUCUAUCUUAAUCCCGUUGAUUUUGGUAAUGUGCUUUUUAGUUAGGUAGCUGUGUGUUGUGCCCUGUUUUGAGAUUUCGUCAUUUAAGUGUUCAGUUCAUUUAAGUGUCUAAUCUGUACAAAUUUUUGGCUCAAAUUCUUCAUUUCUCCCCUCUCUUUGAACUAAAAUUUAUCUCUAUUUCUAAUCCACUUAAAAGUCUGGCUGUUGGGGCCUCUGUUGAAUAUGUGGUAGUUAGACGAUGGUGCGGUACGGUUAGCGUAGCGUUAACGCAUGACAACUACGGUAACGGUAACGGUACUCAUGUGGGUACGUGCUUAUUUUGCCAAAUAAAGUGUACAGCAGCGCCAUGUAUACACAUAAUAACAGAUACUGUGUAUACAUGACGCUAUGGCAAUUUCUUUACUUAGUUAAAUAAAGCUGACAUAACUAAGACACAUAUUCAGCAGAGUUUCUCAACAGAGGGUUUAGUACCAUAGGUUAUGCCAUCACUUGGUACCAUAGGUUAUGCCAUCACUUGGUAUCAUAGGUUAUCCCAUCAGAGGUCCUGCUAUCGGCUAGAGCCCCACUUGAGCUAUCUCUUUUUAUUUUUGUGUUGUCUCGGUAUUUGGUCAGCAGUUCCUGUCACGGCUGUGCACAAUUCUCUCUGUUAUGUGUAUCUGGUUUACUAUAUUUGUCGUGUAUUUUUAAUGAAUUAUUAGUUCCGUGAUACUUCAUUUCAUUUAUGAUGUGGUCUGUUCCGAGUAUAAAAACAUUAUAUUCUGUUUACUGCAGCUACCCAGAAUACCUUAUGUUUACAUUAAUAUUUGUAUUUAAUUUUAUUCUAUAAUCAUUUUGACACAUUUUUUGUAAAUUUACAUUUCUGUAAUGAUGUUUUCUUGACCUCUACGACUUUUUCGUUUUUACCUUUCAUAAGGUUUAUAGCUAUAAUUUCAAAUUCGUCUUUCUAUCUUAAUCCCGUUGAUUUUGGUAAUGUGCUUUUUAGUUAGGUAGCUGUGUGUUGUGCCCUGUUUUGAGAUUUCGUCAUUUAAGUGUUCAGUUCAUUUAAGUGUCUAAUCUGUACAAAUUUUUGGCUCAAAUUCUUCAUUUCUCCCCUCUCUUUGAACUAAAAUUUAUCUCUAUUUCUAAUCCACUUAAAAGUCUGGCUGUUGGGGCCUCUGUUGAAUAUGUGGUAGGUAGACGAUGGUGCGGUACGGUUAGCGUAGCGUUAACGCAUGACAACUACGGUAACGGUACUCAUGUGGGUACGUGCUUAUUUUGCCAAAUAAAGUGUACAGCAGCGCCAUGUAUACACAUAAUAACAGAUACUGUGUAUACAUGACGCUAUGGCAGUGUCUUUACUUAGUUAAAUAAAGCAGACAUAACUAAGACACAUAUUCAGCGGAGUUUCUCAACAGAAGGUCUAGUACGAGUUUCUUUUACAUUUAAUGAGAUCGAAAUGUUAUCGCGUUCAGUUCUCUGAUUUAUUUAGAAUCACGCCUAUCAGAUCACCGAACGUCAAAACGCGUCGAUCACUUUACACGUAAAACAAACUUAUACUAAGCCUUGCACGCCACACGACAUGUCUUUUCCGCACUAUAGGGCAAGAUCGUGUGGCGAGGAGUGAAUUGGAAGUAAAGAUCUGGGCAGGCCAGUUGAGGGCAGUACGAUGGCAACGUCUGGGCUGAACGAAGUGGAAAUAACGAUGGCAAUUUCUGGGCAGAUCGGCAUUUAGGAUUGUGAUGGCUAUACCGGGUUCAUACAGGGGGCGGGUGGGCGGUGUCUGGCUGUUGGGGCCUCUAUUGAAUAUGUGGUAGUUAGACGAUGGUGCGGUACGGUUAGCGUAGCGUUAACGCAUGACAACUACGGUAACGGUAACGGACUCAUGUGGGUACGUGCUUAUUUUGCCAAAUAAAGUGUACAGCAGCGCCAUGUAUACACAUAAUAACAGAUACUGUGUAUACAUGACGCUAUGGCAAUUUCUUUACUUAAUUAAAUAAAGCUGACAUAACUAAGACACAUAUUCAGCAGAGUUUCUCAACAGAGGGUUUAGUACCAUAGGUUAUGCCAUCACUUGGUACCAUAGGUUAUGCCAUCACUUGGUAUCAUAGGUUAUCCCAUCAGAGGUCCUGCUAUCGGCUAGAGCCCCACUUGAGCUAUCUCUUUUUAUUUUUGUGUUGUCUCGGUAUUUGGUCAGCAGUUCCUGUCACGGCUGUGCACAAUUCUCUCUGUUAUGUGUAUCUGGUUUACUAUAUUUGUCGUGUAUUUUUAAUGAAUUAUUAGUUCCGUGAUACUUCAUUUCAUUUAUGAUGUGGUCUGUUCCGAGUAUAAAAACAUUAUAUUCUGUUUACUGCAGCUACCCAGAAUACCUUAUGUUUACAUUAAUAUUUGUAUUUAAUUUUAUUCUAUAAUCAUUUUGACACAUUUUUUGUAAAUUUACAUUUCUGUAAUGAUGUUUUCUUGACCUCUACGACUUUUUCGUUUUUACCUUUCAUAAGGUUUAUAGCUAUAAUUUCAAAUUCGUCUUUCUAUCUUAAUCCCGUUGAUUUUGGUAAUGUGCUUUUUAGUUAGGUAGCUGUGUGUUGUGCCCUGUUUUGAGAUUUCGUCAUUUAAGUGUUCAGUUCAUUUAAGUGUCUAAUCUGUACAAAUUUUUGGCUCAAAUUCUUCAUUUCUCCCCUCUCUUUGAACUAAAAUUUAUCUCUAUUUCUAAUCCACUUAAAAGUCUGGCUGUUGGGGCCUCUGUUGAAUAUGUGGUAGUUAGACGAUGGUGCGGUACGGUUAGCGUAGCUUUAACGCAUGACAACUACGGUAACGGUAACGGACUCAUGUGGGUACGUGCUUAUUUUGCCAAAUAAAGUGUACAGCAGCGCCAUGUAUACACAUAAUAACAGAUACUGUGUAUACAUGACGCUAUGGCAGUGUCUUUACUUAGUUAAAUAAAGCAGACAUAACUAAGACACAUAUUCAGCGGAGUUUCUCAACAGAGGGUCUAGUACCAUAGGUUAUGCCAUCAAUUGGUACCAUAGGUUAUGCCAUCACUUGGUAUCAUAGGUUAUCCCAUCAGAGGUCCUGCUAUCGGCUAGAGCCCCACUUGAGCUAUCUCUUUUUAUUUUUGUGUUGUCUCGGUAUUUGGUCAGCAGUUCCUGCCACGGCUGUGCACAAUUCUCUCUGUUAUGUGUAUCUGGUUUACUAUAUUUGUCGUGUAUUUUUAAUGAAUCUUUAGUUCCGUGAUACUUCAUUUCAUUUUUGUUGUGGUCUGUUUCGAGUAUAAAACAUUAUAUUCUGUUAACCGUAGCUACCCAGAAUACCCUUAUGUUUACAUUCAUGUUUGUAUUUAAUUUUAUUCUUUAUAAAUUUAUUAAUUAUUCUGACACCUUUUUUGUAAAAUUUUGUAUUUUUUUAAUAACUCUUACGUUGAAGGUUUUAUUUUUUUCCUCUUUCUUGUAUGGAUUAUUUUGUCGUCGGUAUUUAAUCACUCUUUAUAAAAUCACUAUACUAUACGUUUUUUAAUUCAACUUAACUCACUUAACCAUAUAAGUCACCUAUUACUUUAGUUUUAAUUAAACUUCUUUAAAGAUUUGAUCCGAUCUUUUUCUAUCUUGGUUUUAAGUACCAACAUGGUUAUUUCCUCUUUGGUUCAACUCAACUCUAGCGUCAUCAUUAUCUUAACAGUUCAAGACAUCCACUGCUGUACAUAAGGUGUCCCGCAAUAACUUUCAAAUUGAUGAUUGAAAUCAACUUUUUAGUGAGUAAAAAUCUACUGUUGUAUCUGUUUUUACUUUAGAUUCAUUUCCACCUUUCGGGUUAUUCUUAAAUCGCUUUGUCUUCUUAUAAGUUAAUCUUAUUUCUGCAGAUCUACCUAUUUUGGUCUUUGGUUCUUAUUCGUACCUUACUCUUACCCUUGGCUGCUCUGGUCCAUUUAAGUGUCUAUUUUAGAUUCUUCUGUCUAUCGCCUUGUUAAUUGUUGGCCGUGUUUAAUUUAAAAGGAUUAGCAGGCACCUUUUGUUGUUAUGCUCAUUGACCUUCAAAUCAUGCACACCUGUCUCUUUAAUGAUGACGAUGUAGUGAUCAACAUGCUACCUCCUUAAUUCAAAUCUUAGUAAUGACGUUACUAUACAACGGGUUUUAUUCUCGGGUUAUUUACCGAUGUAUUAACUCUUCUAUGUGUUUUUUUUUCUUUGCCCCACAUUAGGAUAUUCUCCUGUGUCGUGGGUGCGUUUACAAACAUACAAGUUCACACAUACACACGACACCCAGACCCGAAACAACAAUUUGUGGAUCACACAAAGAGUUGCUCCGUGCGGGAAUCGAACCCGCUACCCGUUGCGCGGCAGCCAGUUGCCCAGCCACCGCACCAACCGUGCAGUUUGUUAGGUUGACACUUCCAUUCGUCAAGCGAUGAAUUGUCAGAUACAGGUACCUAUUACGUGGUGUGAUUUAUGUCAUGCAUUGUCUUCAAAUUUUGAUUCGAUUUAUAUGUAACUAUACCUACUGAAGUAUCACACACAUUCUCGUAUAUUAUAAGUUAAUUGUUUUUUUUUAAAGUUUGUAGGAACCUCGUAGGAAAAACUAAAUUUUAACUUAACGUAAUUUUAACGAUGUCCUGUAAGAAUUAUGAAUAAAGCAUAGAGUCCAAAGUUACCCUGAUUGGUAUAGUGUCUUAGCUAGAUAUCUUCUUAAUAAAAUUAUUAUAUUUAAAAGCAUUAAUUAGAUUUGUUUCAACUUUAUAUAAUAUAAUUAAAACGUAUAAUCCAAUAAAUACAUGUAUUGUUAAAAUCUUUGUUAUUGCCACCAUUUUAAUGAAAUAUAAUGCAAAAUAGUACUUAAGACUGCAGGAUGAAUAUUUUAUGUCUGUACUUAAUGUUCACGCAUACUGUAAAAGCUAUAAUGUACAUAGAUAUUUAACGUUAUACACUCAUCAUGGUAUCAUGUAUCUAAAAGAAAUUAAACACAAUUUGAUGCAUAAUAAUUGUAUUUUAAUACUGAAUAUAAUAUUAAAUGUAAA